rnacentral:misc_RNA from 1 species
GUUUAUCGUGGUCGUUUAAUCAAUGGAAAUCCAGUAGCUGUCAAGAAGCUGUUCAACAAUUUAGGCCAAGCAGAGAAGGAAUUCAGGAUCGAAGUUGAGGCUAUUGGUCAUGUUCGCCACAAGAAUUUAGUUCGGCUCUUGGGGUAUUGUGUGGAGGGUACUCAAAGGAUGCUAGUAUAUGAGUAUGUGAAUAAUGGAAACCUUGAAGAAUGGCUUCAUGGAGCUCUGUCACAGAAGGGUUCACUCACUUGGGAGUCCCGUGUAAAAGUUCUUCUUGGAACCGCAAAAGCUCUUGCCUAUUUACAUGAGGCUAUCGAGCCGAAAGUUGUGCAUCGGGAUAUCAAAUCUAGUAAUAUCUUGAUUGAUGAUGAAUUCAAUGCCAAAG